AAGAGCGCGGGAUUUUCAAACAAGGUUGCACGGUUUUUUUGACCCGUAUCGCAGUGUACAUUCAAAGUACAUGAGAAACGGAAGCAAAAAAAGCGAUGCAAGAUUGACAGAAAAUACAAGCGGAAGAUAUUUCGGGAUGGGUGACUGCGUACCUUU
rnacentral:rRNA from 1 species